GCCCAUGUUGCUCAGUGGUUAGAGUGUCGGCCUGUGCACUGAAGGGACUGGGGUUCGAUUCCUCGUCAAGGGCA
rnacentral:tRNA from 1 species